ACUGAGUGAGGGAGUCAGAGAGUUAAGAGAAUUAGUACAGGUGAGAUUGUACUGAUUAUCUUAACUCUCUGACCCCCUCACUCAGU
ensembl:miRNA MIR3920 microRNA 3920